rnacentral:rRNA from 1 species
GACGAACGCUGGCGGCGUGCUUAACACAUGCAAGUCGAGCGCUCGUAGCAAUACGAGAGCGGCAGACGGGAGAGUAACACGUGGGAACGUACCCUUCAGUUCGGAACAACCCAGGGAAACUUGGGCUAAUACCGGAUACGUCCGUAAGGAGAAAGAUUUAUCGCUGAAGGAUCGGCCCGCGUCUGAUUAGCUAGUUGGUGAGGUAACGGCUCACCAAGGCGACGAUCAGUAGCUGGCUGAGAGGAUGAUCAGCCUCACUGGGACUGAGACACGGCCCAGACUCCUACGGGAGGCAGCGAGGU